rnacentral:tRNA from 1 species
GGCGGGGUAGCUCAGGUGGUAGAGCAAGCGGCUCAUAAUCGCUGUGUCACGGGUUCGAGUCCCGUCCUCGCUA